rnacentral:lncRNA from 1 species
GAGAUCACCAUGGUGGCUUGCAAGCAACUUACUGUGCUUUAGUGCUGGACUACCUGAAUUUCUAAUCAGUGAUGAAAGGUUUCUGGGCAUAGUCAAGUACUUGCAAAGUCGGUAUGUGAGUCAAGAUGGAAUUGACCCUUCCGAAUAAAUAGAAGUUAAUGUAUCAGUGUGUUUUAAUUCAGUAAAGCCUCGAUCGAGAUAAUUC